AAUUUGAAGAUAUCAGCGCAAGCACCCACAGCAUCUGGGUUAACCCAUUCUUCACAUAGAAAGGAUAACUCAGAAUUGAACCAAGAAAAUUUUGGGAUGAUGUCAGAAAAUACGAGUACAACACCAUCAAAUAACGCAUUUUCAACUAGAAUGCAACCUGGACCCACAAAUUCAGGUAUGAAAAACCCAUUGGUAAAACUGUCAAUUAAUAAAUUAGCCAUCUGAAUGUUUGGGUAAUGACCUAGCCACUGAAUUAUUAUUGGCAAAUUCAGCGGAGUCACCUUGUUUAAACGAUUGAAUUUCCUUGUUAGAAAUUGGGAAGUGAAUACCUUGUUUUUUAAAACAUUUUGAGGCUGAAUGAGAACCGGCACAGAAAGAACACUCGUGUCGGUAUUUGCAAUUAUGUUGCCAUCUGCAAUGCGACUCGUUAAAUGCGAAACAGAUACCUUUUUUGACGUUAAUGAAAUUGGGUUGACGAAAAAGAUUGUUUUUGUUAGGGAGCAUUAAAUUCAACCAAAGCCCGACAUCUUUACUACCCCAAUUUAGAUUCGGAUAUACUGCAAGUUUCUGACGAAAGGAUUCGUCAUACAGACACCAACCCAUUCCGCCAAAAUUUCUAUAUGCCUCCAAAAUAGUAUCUACAUGGUAAAUUAAACCAGUACAAAGACUAGGAAAUUUUUCACCCAAAACUGCUGCGUAUAUAUUAAAUGCUUGCAGUCAGUUAAAAAAGGAUUUCUGGUGUAAUUUUCUAUUUUCUUCAGAAUCUGAUUUUUUGUCUUUCAAUAAUUCACUUUUUAAAUUCUCACUAGAUGAAGGAAGAAGAGAAAAAAUUUCAACAUAUUCUUUUCUCCAAAUUUUUUCUUUCACGCUCAAGGGUAAAUGAAACCCUAAUGGAGAAAUUUGACACGCCAGAACUUCUUUAACAGAUGUCUCUUUUAUACCUGAGUUAAAUUCAAGCUCAGGAAUUACUGCCAUUUCAGGGUUAAUAUUGGACAUUUUAGGUACAUUAGUGAACGG